rnacentral:rRNA from 1 species
GACGAACGCUGGCGGCGUGCUUAACACAUGCAAGUCGAACGAUGAAGCCGGAGCUUGCUCUGGUGAAUUAGUGGCGAACGGGUGAGUAACACGUGAGUAACCUGCCCUUGACUCUGGGAUAACUGCGGGAAACUGUAGCUAAUACCGGAUACGACCCUCGGAGGCAUCUCCUGGGGGUGGAAAGAAUUUCGGUCAAGGAUGGACUCGCGGCCUAUCAGCUAGUUGGUGAGGUAAAGGCUCACCAAGGCGACGACGGGUAGCCGGCCUGAGAGGGUGACCGGCCACACUGGGACUGAGACACGGCCCAGACUCCUACGGGAGGCAGCAGUGGGGAAUAUUGCACAAUGGGCGCAAGCCUGAUGCAGCAACGCCGCGUGAGGGAUGACGGCCUUUGGGUUGUAAACCUCCUUUAGUAGGGAAGAAGCGAAAGUGACGGUACCUGCAGAAAAAGCACCGGCUAACUACGUGCCAGCCGCCGCCGUAA